rnacentral:rRNA from 11 species
UGAGUAACGCGUAGGAAUCUGCCUAGUAGUGGGGGAUAGCUCGGGGAAACUCGAAUUAAUACCGCAUACGACCUACGGGUGAAAGGGGGCGCAAGCUCUUGCUAUUAGAUGAGCCUAAAUCAGAUUAGCUAGUUGGUGGGGUAAAGGCCCACCAAGGCGACGAUCUGUAACUGGUCUGAGAGGAUGAUCAGUCACACCGGAACUGAGACACGGUCCGGACUCCUACGGGAGGCAGCAGUGGGGAAUAUUGGACAAUGGGGGCAACCCUGAUCCAGCCAUGCCGCGUGUGUGAAGAAGGCUUUCGGGUUGUAAAGCACUUUCAGUGAGGAGGAAAAGUUAGUCCUUAAUACGGGCUAGCCUUGACGUUACUCACAGAAGAAGCACCGGCUAACUCCGUGCCAGCAGCCGCGGUAAUACGGAGGGUGCAAGCGUUAAUCGGAAUUACUGGGCGUAAAGCGCGCGUAGGUGGUUUGAUAAGCGAGAUGUGAAAGCCCCGGGCUUAACCUGGGAACGGCAUUUCGAACUGUCAGGCUAGAGUGUGGUAGAGGGUAGUGGAAUUUCCUGUGUAGCGGUGAAAUGCGUAGAUAUAGGAAGGAACACCAGUGGCGAAGGCGGCUACCUGGACC